rnacentral:lncRNA from 1 species
UGCCUUUAGCUUCAAUUAGAGUCUUUAGCUUCAAUUUAUGUCCUUGGCUUGAAACCAAGAAAAAGAAAACCUUUCGUCACAUUUCUUGCCAAGUUAGCUUGAAAUCAAAAACUUGGAAAACAUAAAACAUUUUCGUCCAAAAAAUUUAACUACUUAGCCAAAGAAUUUCGACUGAAAUUUCAAAAGAAGCCACCACAAAUUUCGCUUCAAAAUUUCAAAGGACUCGGGCAGAAUCAACAUAUUUCACGGAAGCAGAAGCUUCAUUCCGUUCAAAUAAUUCCAGGAACAUGUAUUUUAAAGCCCUCCCUUCUUUCUUUUGGCAUGGUCCAUAUGAUACUGAAGAAACGAGCAAACACACAGUUUCCAUAAAUUACUCUAUUCAUAGAAACAGUAGGGGUGUCUAUAUUCUUGAUUCCCCAUGAGAAUUAUUAUUAUCUUCUGUUCAUGGGUAUCAGAAUAAUACGCAGUUGAAAAAGUUUAUCUGGAAGGAAUAUUGAGAUUAUUACAUAUUUUUCAUGCAUUUCACUCAUUUAUACAUGUGCAUUGACCCAUGAUCAGAUGGUGUUAUAUACGCGUAUAUAUGUAAAUAUAUGUAUAUGGGAUAUGGAAAAAGGUUACGGCGUUAUAUAUGCACCACCACCUGAUCAGCUGGUAUAUGUUGAUGAUGUUGCCCACAGUGGCCGAGACGAUAUGAUGGGAUGCCCUCAGUGGCUUGAUGAUAUUAUGUACACCCACACCUAUGCAUGGCACAAUAUUUAUACGCACGUGCAUGACAUUAUAAACGUUUCAGAAUUUAUAAAGUUAUUCAUGUUUAAAGAAGUGUUUAUGUAUUCCAUGUUUCAUCUAUGUCUUUUACGUACAAAUUUUUAUGCCUUAUAUACUCAGUACAUUUUUCAUACUGACGCCCUAUUUCACGGGGCCUACGUUUCAUGCCCGCAGGUGCAUGUAGGUAAGCUGACAGUCCCCCUUUUUAGGAUCCCUGAUCAACGGGAGUUGGCGUGCUCCAUUUGAUCCAGAGCUGCUUUUAAUUUUGGUACGAUACGUUUGUAUAUAUAUAAUUGUAUGUGGGUAUGACGUGGUUCAGCCUCGUCUUUGAACAGUUAUGUUUUUGUUAGAGGUCUGUGGACAGUAUGUCUAGUUGGGUUGUAUGUGGCCUUGUCGGCUUUCAGUUUUG